AUAAUUUUGUUUGUAUUUUAUUUAUUUAUUUAAUUUAUUUCUUUGUUAUUAUCUAAACUAUACUUCUCUUUCCCUGCAGGAGUCCUUCUACCCUAGUGCCAGCCCAUACCACAAAGAGAACUGGACAAAAGUAGAGAUUUCUGAGCAGACGCACCAUCUUAACUUACAAGAGUAUGCGGGAGAAACAGUUGUCCAAAGGGAAAUAGAAAAGAAGAGACAACUUUCCAGGAGCCAUCCCAUCACCAAUGAUUACCUGGUUAACGUUGGCAGCAUUCCAGAAGAAAAUAAAGAUGUAAUCAAAUACAGGUUGGACUCCACCAUUCAAAACAAUGUGGUGUAUGAGUUCCACUCCUUUAUAACUGACCAAAAAGUGAUGGACCAGAAAUAUCGGAAUUUAAUACCACGCGAAAAUACCCUGAGAGCUAUCGCUAUACAAAAUGCGACACGUGAAGGUAAAUUACACACCCUACUUGCUUCUUUUUCUCUGAUCUGUCAGACUCUCUCUUUUCAAAGGGGAAAACUCUCUGGGUCCUUAGCUUUACCCACUGCUCAUUUUCAAAGAUGGAUGAAAUCACUUUACUGCCCUACAAAAUUCGAGGUAGCAUCUCAUGACAGGGAAGUGAGAGACUAGUGCAAAACAGAGGGCACAUUUGUCGAUGUGGUCAAUGUGGGAACAUAUUCUUCUUGACUGUUUUUAUGUCACAACAGGUUUUUAUCUCCCUUUGGGAGGAUAGAGAGCCAGUGGGAGAGAGGGAAAAAAUAAACAUUUGAUCAGUGAAAAAAAUACCA
rnacentral:lncRNA from 1 species